rnacentral:tRNA from 1 species
UUAACGUAGCUUAAUAAAAGUAUAACACUGAAGCUGUUAAGAUAAGUCCUAAUAGACUUCGUAGACA